UGGGGAGAAGGGUGUGGUCAGCCAGCCCGGACCCAGAGGGUGGCUGAACGCUGCUUCUGGCUCAGCAGCACCUGGUGGCCUGUCCCGAGAGCUACGGGACAUCCUUCAUAAAUCCCCUUAUGUCUUGAACCACCCCAAGGGGCUUUGGUGAAGAACCCCGCACAAGAACAGCAGUGGGGGGAGGAAGAACCCCGGCUGGCCCCCCAGAGGAGGGGGCUUGACGAGGUGAGCUGGGCAUAGGCAGAGACAGGAAAGGAGCCCAGGAUGGCAAACAGGGUGCUGGGUCAAAGCUGGAAGACUUGAGGGGCCCCGGGAGGGGCGGGGCUGUUUUAAGUAGAAUCAGGAUGAGAAUAGUCAUUCACUCAUUCAUUCAUUCACUCAUUCAUUCAUUGAACAAAUAUUUUCGGGCCAAAACCACGUGGCUGAGGCCUCGGGAAUACAUCUAUGAACAAGACAGACAAGCACCCACCUUUCUGGAGCUGAUGUUCCAGCCGAAAGGGUGGGGGAACAAAACGAAUGCCAACCAAAGGAAGUCUGAGGGCUGUGGGUGGGGGGCAGGACAUGGACCCAAGAGCGGUAUAAGCCAGCCGGACUGGCCUGGGAGCGGCGUGGGGAGCAGUCCCUCGGCACCGUGGGGUCCUUGGGAGGCCCCAGAAGAGCCCCUGCACCUAAGGCCCCGUGUGUUAUGAUGGCAAAGACAAGAAAAAUGCUUAGCAUUUAUUUAGUGCCUACUAUAUGCCCUCUCUUCACUGGUUGGCAGCAACAGCCCAUUUCCACCCCCAUUUCCCCAGCCCACCAAGUUCCCGGCCACUCCCAAGUAAGAUGGCUUGGUGGGUUCAAGGGACAGCCACUGAACGUGCUCUUUGCCCCGAGAAAAAUCCUGUCUUGUGUGAGGCCCAGGAACAGAGGCACAGCCCUGGGGGCCUCCCCCUUCAGACAGCCUCCCCUUUUGGACUGCCUCCCCCUUCAGAUUGCCUCCCUCUUCUGACUGCCUUCUGAGCUCUGAGUGGUGGGAGAAGGUGGAGGUUUCAUUUACCAGGGAGGUGGGGGUGGGGAAAGAUCAGUGGGAGCCCGAGGGAGCCUGGGUGAAGUUAUACUGAAAUACGGGAGAGAUUGAGCCUGAGUCAGGGGUGGGGCAGCGGGAGAUGCGACACAGCUCAUGGGGAGACAGCCCCAGGGUCGGCAGGGCUGUAUGCUACCCUACCUUCUGGGGUUGCCCUCCAUGACACGUCCCCCUUGGGUUUCAUGGCAAGGUCGCUUAGCCCCUAAGCUGGACAUCCCAGCAGGUGACUCAGCAAUGAAUGAAUGGCAGCCCCAUGCUUGGCAGCUCAGGGCCUCAAGCAAAUACCUAACCUCUCUGAGCCUCAGCAACCUCUCCUGUAAAAUGGGGCAGCAUGUGUCUCAUAGGAUCUCUGAGAGGAAAAAACAUGUGAUAAAGCAUUUCCGAUUCUAAGAAAGAUGGCUGACACACGGCAAGUGCUCUCCACCCCAGCUCCACACUCAGCCCACGCUCCUAGUCCCACCAAACUGCCAACCUCUCUCCAAAUGCGCCCUGCCCCUUUGUGGCCUCUGCUUUGUGUUCGUCUCAGUUCUGUGGAUCUGAACCGCCCGGGCACUAGCUUUGUGUCGCCCUGCCAGGCCCCUCUUCUCCAUCGAAGGAUCUCCUCCCUGCUCACCGUCGGGACAGCCCUGGGGCCUCCGCUGUGCACACCUGUGCCGUGGAAGCAAGUUCUCCAGCUCCACGGAGGACCAGGUGAGAAUGCCGAGUCCCAGCUCUAGAAGCGGGGAGCGUCUCGAUGGCCGAGGAAGGAGGCCAAAGUCGGCCCUGGUCCUCCAGGCUCCUGCAGUCUGCCCCGCUUCUGAGCAUCGCCGAAGGGACUGUGGGGCAUGGCAGCUGGUAGCGGCUGUCCAGGAUCAGGAACCCUUCCCCCGUCACCGACCCUGACCAUCCUGUCAGGCAGCGCCAUAGUCCCUGUGUGACAGACUGCUCUUGCCUCUGCACAUCCAGCCCUGCGUUUCUGAUAAAACCCUGCCGUGAAGGGGAAAUGAAGUGGUUGCACAAUCCCACAGCCCUCCUUGGCAGCCAUGUCCUGUGAAUGGACAUGCCAACAAUGGCCACGUGUGGAUUUCCGGAAGCACCUCAAGGGGACCAGCAUGGUCCUUUUCCUGGCCCUUCCUGCUGCCCCUCCCUGCAAGGCAGACAAGUGAUGGCUGCCAUCUCCGACCACGAGACGGGGGCCACGUCGUGAGGAUGAAAGAGCCGACGGUUAACCAUGGCACCACCAAGACGCAGCCCUGGAUUGCCCAUGUUAAGCAGAAGAAGACGGCUACAUCACGGAUAAGGAACUGGAAGGAGGUCCAGGCGCUGUCCAUCCCAUCUCCCUAUAUUACAGGAUAUUGAGCCCCAGGGAAGGAAGAUGACUGGGCCAAGCCACAUGGUGUGUUCCUGGUGGCAUUUGGUGGCUGGGCUUUGAACAUCCAACAGAUAAUGUGAACAGGCAGUGUUCCAGGCAAUGUGACGAAAAGCAACAGAAUUCACAACUGUGUGGUGAUAGACAGUUAACUAGACUUACUGUGGAGAGCAUUUUGUAAUGUAUAACAAUAUCGAGUCACUAUGAUUUACACCUGA